UACGUAGGGCGCAAGCGUUGUCCGGAAUUAUUGGGCGUAAAGAGCUCGUAGGCGGUUUGUCGCGUCUGCUGUGAAAUCCCGAGGCUCAACCUCGGGCUUGCAGUGGGUACGGGCAGACUAGAGUGCGGUAGGGGAGACUGGAAUUCCUGGUGUAGCGGUGAAAUGCGCAGAUAUCAGGAGGAACACCGGUGGCGAAGGCGGGUCUCUGGGCCGAUACUGACGCUGAGACACGAAAGCCAGGGGAGCAAACGGG
rnacentral:rRNA from 1 species